UUCAUAUCUCUAAAUUGUAUACCAUGCCUAAUUAAUGCCAUUGACAUAUAAAAGAGCAAUGUUUAAAUCCUUUUUGAGCAGCAUUUUGGGUUAUGUUUCAAAAAAUUCUUAAUAAAUAAAUACAAAAAUAAAUGUACAAAGAAUGUAUAUAUAUAAAAUAAUACAAAAAAUUGUAGAGAAAUAUAAAAACAAACAUAAAUGAGAAUUGGUAUUUCUUUAUUUUUGUAUUAUUAGGGGUCAAGCACCGAAGGUGCUGAGACACCUAUUGGAAUUGUUAUUAUUAUUAUUAUUAUUAGUGAUGGACAAAUGAGGCUUCCUGAACCACUGAGGCUUUCCAGCCCAUUGGUUCGCCAAAAGGUUCAUUUACCCGAAGCCUCAUGAAACAGUGUGCUCUCUAGUGCUCUGCUGUGCAAAGCAAUGUAUCCCACACAAAUCUAUUCAUCCUGAGCAACCAAAUUGUCAUGGUGUGGGCUUUUUCUAUUGCCUGUGUAUUAAAUAAAGUAUUUUACUCUGCUUGUGUUAACCUAUGUACACACAACUCACACAUACACAACUUUAAACUCCAAACAAUAUUUGGAUUGAGGCGGUUUCUCUUUUUAGAAAGCACCUCUCCAGCCUUAGAAAACACCCUUUCACAGGGCACCGAUGAUGCUGGACAACACAGGAAGGUUAGUGCCAGUUUAUUUAAAUUGGGAUAUUGGAGCUUCUGUUUGUUCCAAUAUCCCAAUGGAUCCUCAGUCCUUGCCAGAUUUGUCUCUGACAAAUAACGAUCAACUUCAAUUGUUGCAUCUGCGGUCACACUGGAGCUCCGUCUGCUGUUAUCCACUGUGGUGUCCAGCAGGUGCCAAAGGUCACCUAUAAUUAUAAAAAGAAAAAAAAGCUCACUUCUCAAUGGUUCAGAUUACAUUACAAGUGUGAACAUUCACAUAAGACAUAGACUACUUACCACAGGUUGUAGAUUGCCCAGCUUGUGAGGCAGGCAGCUGAGCUGUGGGUGGGGUAUCAGAAUUUCUUAUCACAUUCACACAUUCUGACUUUAGUCUUGUGAUGGCAUCUUGUAGCUUUCCUGGACUUAGGAAGCCUAGUUUUUGAACCUAGGGUCCACCAAUGUAGGCAUUGUCAUCACACUUAUGGAUUCCAUUUGCAAUGCAUGCUCUCUGAUGCGACGAACAAGGUUGUCAGCCAGCUGCCUUGCCAUAUUUGAUGUUAAGCCCUCUUUUUGUUUCAAUGGUGAGGUUUAGCAUCUUCAGUAGGGGAAUAACCUUUGAUGGUGGCACUAUUUUCUUUGCAGAAAGCUCUACUGUGGCCUGGUGGAAUGGGGCCAGUAUUUCAAGAGCAUCUUUCAUGGUGUCAUAUUCCAAUGAAGUAGAAGGGGUUACAUCUGUCCUUAAAGAGGCCAAGGCUGCCCCCACUGGCUCUCUCAGGUCAUACAGCCUUUCCAGCAGGCAAGUGCACAGAUAGGGCUCAACCUGUGCAGAACACAUGCCCUUUUUGUCCUUACAUUCCGAAGUGCCCUUUUUUGGAGGUGUUUUGUUAUUUUUUUUAUAUAUAAAUUAAUGCUAUUGUUAAACACUUACGUCUGUCUGUGUGUUUUACAAAUAUAUUUAUCAAAUAAAAUUAUUAAAAAACUCAAUCUUUUUGGAUCCGCUCAAACUGUCUGUCAAACCUCUUAACUCCGCCCCCUGAGUGCAGCGAGCUGAAGUUCCACAGCAGUCAGAGGCAGCUGAACGUCUUGCAACGGUAAAUAAGUAUCUUGUUGUUUGAGUACAAUGCUGUCUCAUUACGAAAGAAACACUAGUAUGUAUAUAACGGCGCAUAUUUUAUAAAUUUGAGCAGAGCCGAAUUAUCCAUAGAUGGGAUUGGUCGAGUGGGCAAUCAGGGGCACUAAGGGCUCCAAACUGCGAACAAAUUGAGUUUUUGACAAAGCGCGAGCAGUUUUUAAACAAGUGUUCACCCCUAUGGUUCACCCAUGUGAAGGGCACCCGUGACAACAAUACAGAAUGCAUGGUCGGGUUUUUACCGCUUUUUUGCAUGACGCGUCUCAAUCGUUAAACUAAAGUCAACACAUCUCACGUCAACACAUCUAGCCUACAUUAACACCAAAAACAUAUCAGAUUAGAAAGGUCUUAGACAUCAGAUGCCUGGAUAGAGACGAAAAACGUGUAAAGGAUACAAGUAUGUACAUUAUAUUGCCCUGUCACUCAUUACAGUAUGCAAUCUGGACAUAAUUUAUGCAUGUUUCUUAUGCCUUGAAUUAGUCAAUUGUAUGAUUAUUUGGUUCAUAACUUUUUAUUCAGAAAUCAACUGCAUAGAGUAAAGUCUAUUUAGUAUUUAGUAUAUUUUUCAGUAAUGCAGUUAUUUGCACCUUCAAAAGACCAAGGUUCCUGGUCCUCAGCACAGUUUUUGCCAGUUAGGCAGAUACAUGUUGAAUAUGCUAAUGGUAUGGCUAUAGUAUAGUAUAAUCUCCUAUUUUGAUCUUUAAUCUCCUAUUUCCCCCUCUUCUCAAUCACAUACAUAAACAUGUUAACCAAAUAAUAAAAAUUAGCUUAUAAAACCAAACAGAAUACCUUUUUUUUCUUCAAACAUAUUUUUAUGUAACUUCCCAGCUAGCAGGGAACGUUCUUAGAACUUUCGCUAACAUUCCUUACUUGUUUGGUUUAUGUCCUAAAGAAAACAUUUGAAUAUAAUGUUAAACUAACAUUUUAAGGAUGUUUUCUCAUUUUAAAAAAUGUUCCCAUAACGUUAUAUGAAAACUAAGAUAUAACAUUUUAACUGCAACAUUCAAUAUCAUCUUUGGAUCCUACCAGAUCAUCUUUGGAUCCUAACGACUUGGAAGCUUUAACACCUAAUCAUCUCCUGCUUCUAAAACCAAAGUUAACACUACCACCUGGAUUGUUUGAAAAGGAAGAUUUAUAUGCCCGUCGAAGAUGGUGUCAAAUUCAGUAUUUGGCCGACCAGUUUUGGAAAAGGUGGAUUGGUGAAUAUCUACCUCUACUACAAGAACGCCAAAAGUGGAUGGCCAAGACACGGAACUAUUAGCUGGGAGAUGUUGUACUGGUAGUGGAUGUACUGGUAGUGGAUGAAAACGCUCCUAGAAGUUCCUGGAUCAUGGGCAAAAUUGUUCAUAUGAUAAAUGACAAAAAAGGAUUCACACGGCAAGUUCAGAUCAAGACUAAGAGUACUUGCUUGACUAGGCCAAUCACAAAGAUUUGUCUUCUUCUUGAAGCCGAGGGAUUUAAAGAUUGACUGUCACUGACAUUUGAGAGCUCUCAACUGACCCCUUUUACUUGACCUUUUGACUUUUUGACUUUUUUGACUUUUUGACUUUUUUGACUUUUUGACUUUGACUUGAUUGAAUUACUGACUUUACUGACUUAGACUGGACCUUUACAUUGACUUUACUUGGCUACAAGGAUGAACUAAAUGAACAUUUGAAAUGAUCUGGACAUUUUCACACACAUACAUUUUUCACAUUUCCUUAAGUAUUUUGUAAAAAAAAAAAGGGAAAAUCAUGUACAACAAUUAAUUAUGUAAUGUAUGUUAAUAUUGUUGUUCUCAUUCUCAUUGUGUCUGUGAUUAUUACAGGUUUAUAGUGUAAUAAUCAGGGGCUGGAAUGUAGGUGCAGAAAACCUGGGUCUUUUAUUUUGUAUUUUGCACGGAUGUUUCCAGGUGGUUUGGUCACAUGACUAUCAUGGGUAUUUACCUGGGCUGCGUUCAGCCCCGACAAAACGUUGCACAACGUUUAUUAAACAGAAACGGUGAUGCAUUGAACACCCUGUUGUGAUGACGCAAGAGUUGCAACUACGGUAGCUGAGAGGCCAUUCUUUGUGUUCUUUUUAAAAUGUUUCUAAAGCCUGAUGAAAUCGUUAUAAAUGUGUGUUUAAUACUGUAAAAUACCCUCGAUGUUACAGUCACUGACUAUGCCGUCCAGAAUGAAAGACAAUAUUCCAAAUUGAACCCAUUGAGCGAGCUGUCUCUUUACUACCGCGUGGUUUUAUACAUCUUGCCGCUGAUUGGGCCGACAUUUCUGACACACCCACCAAACAAGAGAAAACGCUUCUAAAACCUGUUGCAUUCCGUUGCACACCGUUUCCAGGAAACAUGUCGUUCAACCCGGAAACCGUAGCAAAACGUUGCGCACCGGUGUGAGUUUGAACGUGCCCCUGGUGGCAUUUCCUGUUCUGUUUAGCAAGUGUUUAGGUGUGUGUGUAGAGAGGGGGUGAGUAGCCAGGAGUGUUCACUUUCUGUUGAUCGUUUUCGUUUAAGUUUACUUUCAUGUUCAUGCAGUAGGAUGCAUUUUUAACAGCCAAUGUUCCUACAUGAAUGUUAUGUCUUAAUAAACAUCCUUGGAUUUUAAAUGCAACGAAACGCGUCACGGAUCUUUCCUGCUGCUUAGCCUCUCAGCGGCUAUAGGCUGCCGCUACACAAAUGUUUCCCGUGGAAGUUUGAAUCUCUCUCAGUCAGGGGGGAGAUUGACUAACAGAUGGUCUACUUGCCACCAAACAGUAAUUUACCCUGAAACCUUUUUAAGGUAACGUUACCACAUUUAUUUAUUAUGUUGUUUGAGUACACCACAGUUCUGUAAGUGGAAAAUUAAUUUAUAUUUAUGUGUGUUUACUCACAGUUUAGCACAAAUGUUUCCAGUGGAAGUUUGAAUCUCUCUCAGUCAGGGGGGAGAUUGACUGACAGACGGUCUACUUGCCACCAAACAGUAAUUUACCCUGAAACCUUUUUAAGUUUAGCACAAAUGUUUCCAGUUGUUGUUUGAAUCUCUCUCAGUCAGGGGGGAGAUUGACUGACAGACAGUCUACUUGCCACCAAACAGUAAUUUACCCUGAAACCUUUUUAAGUUGAGCACAAAUGUUUCCCGUGGAAGUUUGAAUCUUUCCCAGUCAGGGGGGAUAUUGACUGACUGACUGACUGUCUACUCGCCACCAAACAGUCAGUUAAACAGAGGUAACAAGUAAGGACUAACGUUAACUGACCUGUCUGUCUGUCUGUCUGUCUGCUCUCAACCAAACAGUCAUUCAAGACCUUUUAAAGUUUAGUGCAAACGUUUCCAGCGCAAGUUUGAAUCUCUCUCAGUCAGGGGGGAGAUUGACUUACAGACUGUCUACUCGCCCCCAAACAGUAAUCUACACAGAAACCUUUUAAAGUUUAGCACAAACGUUUCCCGCGCAAGUUUGGAUCUUUACCAUUGAGGGUGGCUGACUGUUUUCGACCAACCAUCAUUCACACGCAAAAACUUUUAAGAUAAGUAUGAACUUGCCCAGAGCAGUUUUCGAUCUUUACCAUUAAGGAGGCUGACUGACUAUCCUCUACCAACCGUCAUUAACACAAGAAAAACUAAAGAAAUGUUACUCCAUAUGGACCUAUUCAUUUACUCAUUAUGCUGUGAGUACACCACAGUUUUAUCAGGGAUAUUUAUAUUUGUGUGUUUCUCACUGCUUGACAAGGACAGAUGUGGCCCUGUUAAAAUUUUUUAAAUGUCGUUUGGUUUAAGGAACAGCACACUGAUUUUCUUUUAAAAUAUUCCUGUUUGGACAAUCUGUUAAAGUCAUAAAGGAAUACUUGAUAUAUUUCAUAAGUAUAAGUGUAAAUGUAAUAUUAGUUUUUAAUGUUGUGAAUUUGGACUGAAAA